UACGUAGGGUGCAAGCGUUGUCCGGAAUUAUUGGGCGUAAAGCGCACGUAGGCGGCUUAGCAAGUCGGAUGUGAAAGCCCUCGGCUCAACCAAGGAAGUGCAUCCGAAACUGCUGAGCUUGAGUACUUAAGAGGAUCGCGGAAUUCCCGGUGUAGAGGUGAAAUUCGUAGAUAUCGGGAGGAACACCAGUGGCGAAGGCGGCGAUCUGGGAAGAUACUGACGCUGAGGUGCGAAAGCGUGGGGAGCAAACAGG
rnacentral:rRNA from 1 species